UACGUAGGGCGCGAGCGUUGUCCGGAAUUACUGGGCGUAAAGAGCUCGUAGGUGGUUUGUCGCGUUGUUCGUGAAAACUCACAGCUCAACUGUGGGCGUGCGGGCGAUACGGGCAGACUUGAGUACUGCAGGGGAGACUGGAAUUCCUGGUGUAGCGGUGGAAUGCGCAGAUAUCAGGAGGAACACCGGUGGCGAAGGCGGGUCUCUGGGCAGUAACUGACGCUGAGGAGCGAAAGCGUGGGGAGCGAACAGG
rnacentral:rRNA from 1 species